AUGAGUUUCCAGAAGCGUCGUCUCCUACAAGACAGGCAAGGACGAUGUCGUCGCCCUCGCAGGUUCUAUGAUCUGUUCCAUCUCUGUUCUCCUCGUCAAGGGGAGGGGAGGCGGCCAAUGACAGGGAGAAGGAGCAGGCCGUCAAGGAGUGCAACCAGAAGCUUUCCGGUGACUGGAAGUCUGAAACUCAAGACAGGGCAUAUUGUUUUGGUUAUGAGUGGUUGGAGAUAUUGUGGCUUGAUGUCCCUAGAGCAGUCGGACCCUUCCAAGAUAUGUGCUAAAAUCCUAGGUGUCAAGGGCAUUGUGGUGGUGCGAUCCAUGUCUCCUGCGAGCACUCGGCAUGGCGUCCAUAGCCCCAAAGAGCAGGGCUUCAAGGCUGGACAACAAGCUUCACUUGAUGAAAGCAUUUCCCUUCUAAAACAGAUUACUGCUGAGAUUAAUGCACAAAUUGCUAUGGGCUGGAGCUCCAGGGGAGGAGGGAGGAACAUCAAAACCAAAUGGGAUUUCAUUGAGUGUACUUCAGAUGCCCAUGCUGUAGAAGCCGAAGCUGUUUUACGUGAAUCUAAUGACGUCCCUUCUGCUAUAAGCUAG
rnacentral:rRNA from 1 species